CUCCCUCAGCAAAAGCCCCAUGGCAUCGGCCUCCGCUCCCUUCAUGGCGGUGGCGGGCGUCUGGGGAGCCGACAAUUGGGGAGCUAGGGUUUUAGAAGAUUGAAGGGAGGUUUUGAGAGAUGGGAAAUUUUUUAUGGGAGAAGAGAUUGGAUUGAGAGUAAAAGGGAGAGGAGAGGGUUUAGAGGAACGAAGAGAGGGUCUGAGAGAGGAACAUAAGUGAGGGGUUGCUGGAGAAGAAAGCGAAAGCACGUCCAUAGCUGACUCCUUACAACAAUCUAUCAGUUAGAGAGGAAGAGGAGAAACAUCCGUACUCG
rnacentral:misc_RNA from 1 species